rnacentral:rRNA from 1 species
GACGUAGGGGGCAAGCGUUGUUCGGAAUUAUUGGGCGUAAAGAGCUCGUAGGCGGCCUGUUGCGUCCGCUGUGAAAGCCCGGGGCUUAACCCCGGGUCGGCAGUGGAUACGGGCAGGCUAGAGGUAGGUAGGGGAGAAUGGAAUUCCCGGUGUAGCGGUGAAAUGCGCAGAUAUCGGGAGGAACACCGGUGGCGAAGGCGGUUCUCUGGGCCUUACCUGACGCUGAGGAGCGAAAGCGUGGGGAGCGAACAGG